rnacentral:rRNA from 1 species
CCUACGGGAGGCAGCAGUGGGGAAUAUUGGACAAUGGGCGAAAGCCUGAUCCAGCCAUGCCGCGUGUGUGAAGAAGGCCUUCGGGUUGUAAAGCACUUUCAGUGGGGAAGAAAGCCUUGGGGCUAAUACCCUCGAGGAAGGACAUCACCCACAGAAGAAGCACCGGCUAACUCCGUGCCAGCAGCCGCGGUAAUACGGAGGGUGCGAGCGUUAAUCGGAAUUACUGGGCGUAAAGCGCGCGUAGGCGGUCUGAUAAGCCGGUUGUGAAAGCCCCGGGCUCAACCUGGGAACGGCAUCCGGAACUGUCAGGCUAGAGUGCAGGAGAGGAAGGUAGAAUUCCCGGUGUAGCGGUGAAAUGCGUAGAGAUCUGGAGGAAUACCAGUGGCGAAGGCGGUCUUCUGGACUGACACUGACGCUGAGGUGCGAAAGCGUGGGUAGCAAACAGGAUUAGAUACCCUAGUAGUC